AUUUUACAAAAAAUUAAUUGAGAUGGCCUCAUUUAAGCAAGCUUUUCUCUUCAUUGCUCUCUUUGCAAUUUUGGUUAAUCUCUCUUGGGCUCCAAAUAAAAUGCAAGUCAUGGCAUUACGAGACUUAUCUGUUGAUGUUGAAGAUAUUGAAGGGAAAUUACUUCAACUUGAUGAUAUUACUACUUGUGGGAGACGUUGCAAGGUCCAUAGUGAUUGCAAAGAAGGUGUUAUCUGUUCAACUUGUCUUAUACUUGGGUCUACGAUUUUUCAUUGCGUAUAACACAAGCGCACUAUUACUGAUGAAAUAUUCUUGGAUCGCAAAUUAUUGUUACGUUAAAAUGAAAUGAACUAUUAAUUGCUUGAUAUGUCUUAGUGUUUAUUCAAGCAUUUUAAGUAAUGUUAUGUUAUCAAAGUUUGUGUAAGAAAAUAAAUACGUAACCUUAUAAGUUUUCCAUAUAUUGGGAAACUACCUAAUCUUAUAGGUUACAACUUAAAUAUAUGUAUAUGUUGGUUGCUUGUGUUUA